UGAGCAGGACUGGUCAAAUGUGUCUGU
rnacentral:piRNA from 1 species